CCAAGAUUGUGCCAUUGCACGCCAGCCUGGGCAACAGAAUGAGACUGUCUAAACGAAAAAAAAAGAGUCAUUAACAGACAUACAAACUAUAUGAUCCCAUUUACAUAAAGUUCAAAAAUAGGCUAAAUGAAUCUAUGCUAUAGGAAGACAGAUUAGUAUAUGUCCUUGUGGGAGGUUGUGAAUGGGCGAGUGGAGGAGAGGAAGGACUUUGGGGUGCUGACAGUGUUUCGUUUCUUGAUCAGGGUGCUGUUUAUAUGAGGUGUUCACUUUAUGAAAAUACUUUCAGUAGUGCACUUGUUAUUUAUGCACCAUUCUCUAUGUAAGUUAGACUUUGACAAAAGUGAAAUGAAAAAGAAACUAAAUAGCCUUGUUGUUGUUUACUUUCCCUAAAGACAGCGAGCACAUCGUGUUUAUUUCUAAUGCUUAUUCAAAGGAGUAGAGACUCUGAGGAAGGGUGAGGUGGCAGGAUAACCCCUUACAAGAGUCAGAGUUAUGGGCUACGAUUUCCUGGGCAUGGAAAGAGUACACCCCUUCCAGCCUAGUCGUUUCGUUCUUAUUAUCUUGGAAGCAAACUGUCCAGCUGUUCUUCCUAAUGUCAGGUUAACAAUGAUUGUGGCCAUUCCCUGCUGCAUGGGUCAGGCUGUGAGACACCCUCCCCUUAAAUUUACUUAGAGACAGAAGGUAUAGAUGGAUGCAAAUGGGAAGGGAACAGUGUAUUUCUCCACUGUGUGCUUAUGUCCAAAUCAGAAACCAGCCUUAUUCUUGCUUAUUAAUUAUUAAGGAAAAUAAUUUUAACUAUCAGGGCACUGUUCUUCAAAUGGUGAUUGGGUGAAGGGGAUUUUCUUUGAGUUCUGUGAAACACCAAAAAUGCUAUGUGUUGAUAAUGACUAAAAAUACAUUUUCCACUCGUAAAGACAAAACUUCGGUAUUGCAAAGUUAUUUUCAUAGAAUGAAAUCUUAGUUUCUUGAUUCAGUCUUUUGCAAAUAGGGGUCCAUGUAUAAACUAUCAAGAAAAUAUUUCCAAUAAAUGCACUGGGGUAUAUUUAGGUUUAUUUGACAUAUACAGGAAUAUUUGAGGGAAGGGAGCAAUAAAUUCAUCUCUUUAAUUUGCUGCAGGCUUUCCUUAGAGGGAGUGCUUUUUUAGCUGGUGUUAAGAUGGAGAAAGGUGCCUUCUAUCGUGCUAUUGCUGAAUUCUCUGCUCCAGAAACAUGCAGAACAUUAGCAUGACCCAACUGCUUGAAAGCAAACAAGAUGCUCUUGUCUUAAAGAGCAUCAUUUCAGAGGAAGAAAAGCCAUAAUGAGCCCUUCCUUUUUCUUUUUCUUAACUGAGGAGUAGCAAAUGGUAUUUAAGCUGUUAUCUGGCAACAAAAUAUUUCAAGUAAUGUUUUUUUAAAAAGCCUGCCAACACUUCUUUCUGUUGGGCAGUGAUAUAUCUGAGUUAAAAGCCCUUUCAAGAUGGAGAAUAUGACAAGAAAAGUUGCAUACCCCUAACCAAAGUGGGCUUUCCAAGAGCUAGAAUAAAGCCACUUCAUUAAGGUUUCUCACACUGGUGUUUUUUGGCAGCAUUUUUCAAGAAUCAUUUCCUCUAUGGGGGAAAUGAAGUGGCAGUGUCUUUCCUGACUGUUGCUAAAGGUGAAGUAAGCAUUUGAAUUGAGAAAGGUGGUUAAAAUAGUAUCUGAACUUUUGAACUUCCUGAUCAGAUAAUUAUUCUUGAAAGUCUGUAUAAGAUGGAAAAGAGAAUUAAUGCCAAUAAAAUGUUUAAUUUUAGAGGGAUAUCAUUAUUAAAUAGUACUCCUUCUAUAAUUUUUUGAUUGUUGAGUACAGGUAUGACAAGAAUUAAUGAAGAUACUUCUGAUUGAUAACAUGGGAUAUAAACAGAAAGUUCUCUUAAAUAGGAAGGUGUGUAUGUUUGGAAAUUGAACUUGUCUCUUUUGCUUAGAAGUGUAUAUAAAUUAAUGCAAGAUAUUUGUCUAUAUCUCAACCCCAGGUCUCCCUCCUGAGCUGCAGAUCUGCAUAUCCAACUACUUACUAGACACAUCCUCUUGAAUGCCCCAUAGGUACCUUAUUUCAACAUAUUCUAAGUAAAACUCAUCAUCUCAGCCUUCUCCUGCUCACCCAUCUUGGCCUUUUACCACUAUUUCCUCAUUAUUUUUUCUAUUAAUCAUUGUUAAGCCAGUUUCCAAAAUCAUGCAUCUAGUUAUCAACCUUGGAGUCUGCCAUCACUGAUGCCACACACCCCAACAGGCCACUUGCGAUUUAUUUCCUAAAUCUACUCACUUUCAGCAACCCACUGUUGCCCAUAUAGAGGGGACCACUAUCAUUCUACCAUUCAACAUUCUGCUAAUGAGUCUUCUUGUAGCCCUUCACUCUUUUGCCUCCUUCAAGCUGUUACCACGGGAGGGAUCCAAGAUUCAACUCUCAUUUUUUCCAUUUCUAUACCAAAACCAUUCUUUGGGUUUCUGUUCUUAGGAUGAACUCCUCAACAUGGUUUGUAAGAUUCUAUAUACUCUGAUCUUGACCCUGCUUACUACUCUCGCUGAUGUGAAGCCUCCUAUUCCUAUUAUCUCUGAGCACACCCAACCCUGCUUGUUGGCAGUAAGGGACAGAAAAAGCACUUGAGGCAGCAGGCUGUCACAUUUGCUAACAGUGCAAGCCAACUUAGAAAAACCACUACGUCCAAGACAAGGGCUCUUUCUGUGAAGUAACAAUGACAAGUAGAAGAGACAUUUAGUCAGUGUUCACUGGCUGUACCUGUACUAGUGAGAGAAAGUCCUGCUCCAUAGUUUCUUGCAUCACUACACUCUGGGAAGCCGCUGUACUUUACCAUGCAAGUGUAGGCCCACAUCUUCUCACUCUUUGUCCUGAGUUUAAAUUCCUCCAACUCUACCCAAGGGUCCACAGGCCCCUAUCCCUGGAUGCCAUGUGUUUCAUUGACAUGAGGUUUCCUCCUAUUAAGCAAAGAGGAGUCUUAUAAAUGGCGCUGUGAGGACAGAUACUUGCACUUUGUCUUGACCUCUGCUUCACCUAGUGUAUUCUAGCUACAGCCUUAGCUCACUUCAGUUUUAGUCUCAAGAUCGUCCCAGUCCCCUCCUCUAUAUUUGGUUCAUGUUUUCAUAUAUUGUUAAUCAGGAAUGCUAAAACUAUUAAUUUGAUGCAUUAUAUUUAUGGGAACACUUGAGAUGUUUCUAGAACGCAGAACCACCUGCAGAAUCUCUGGAAGGGUUUAUUUCCUACAUGCACAAUUAGCGCAAAACCUUUUGAAUAAAAUAGAUUUUUUUUGAUGAUACUAUCUAUUACUUACCUUUUAACAUUUUCCUUUUCCCACCUAUGGCUCCAAGCAGACUAAAUUUCUCUCAGGUUCUUAUUUUUGUUGUGCUCUCUGUCUUAGUCUGUUCAGGCUACUAUAACAAAAUAUACCAUAAACUGAGUGGCUUAUAAACUAUAGAAAUGUAUGUCUUACAGUUCUGGAGGCUGGGAAGUCCAAGAUCAAGGCAGUGGCAGAUUUGAUGUCAGGUGAGGACCUGUUUCCUGGUUCAUGGAUGGGGGCUUCUCACUAUGUCCUCACAUAGUGGAAGGGGCAAAGCAGCUCUCUGGAGCCUGUUUCAUUCAUAAGGGUGCUAAUCCCAUCCAUGAGGACUCUGCCCUUAUGACCCAGUCACCUCCCAAAGGCCUCACUUCGUAAUCUCAUCACAUGGGUGAUUAGAUUUCAAUAUGUGGAUUUGAGGGGGACACGGCAUUCAGAUCAUAUUACCUUCUUUCCAGACUUUUACACAACAGGUUGCCUCCAGAUCACAAGGCUCUCAGCUCUCUUUUGUGCUUGGCUACUUUAUAACAUCCGUUUAGACCUCACUUCCUUCAGGACACCUAGGUUAGACCUUUGGCUGAGUACUUCCCUAGCACCUUCCACUCCCUUCACAUAGCACCUAACACACUCUGUAGGGUUUCUCUGAGGUAAGCUCUGUAACAGCAGGGUUCUUGUCUUUCUUGUUCAUCCUUGCAGUCUUCAAAGUCUGCUGCAUCACCUGGCCCAGAGCAAGUACUUAAUGAUCAUUUGUUAAUGAAUUAAUAAAUAGAUUUUUCCAUUAAUCAUCUAAUCAGUGAAUUUACAAUUCUAUGCAAUUAUUUGAUGCUCUAAGAAAUUGAAGUUUUAUUUUCUGAAGUUAUAUAUUAGUUUUAUUUCCUAAGGAAUUUGAUUUAUCCUUACUUGAAAUCAUCACUACCCAGUGGUUAUUAUAGCUAUGCUGCCAUAUGGUAAAACACAUGAAGCAUCUAAUAUUGCCUUAAGAAAGCUGUUUCACAGUAAAAACUCUUCAGGCCUUUCUCUCAACACUUUUCAUUUUAUGUUGAAAUUAUUGGUGUUUGUAUCUCUCUUACCUGUAAGACAUUAGGUGCCUCAAAGGCAGUGACCAUGUGUUAUUCACCUUUGUAUCCUCACAACCUUGUAUCUAGUGCAGUGUUGGAAGUCAGAAAUGUCUAUAUAGAUGCUUAAGAUAGGCCAGAAUCCACAUCUUGGCUCAAAAACUGUAUAACUGCCAACACCUGUCUCUGUACUUACACUCUCAAAGCCUCAGUUUCUACACCUGUAAAAAUGAGGAUUCUGCUGUUAUAAAAGAUCAUCUUGCAGGGUUGUUAUGAAGUAUUACAUAAAAUAUAACGUACGUAAGGAACUCAGCAUAGUGACUGAAACAUAGGAACUAUGAAUAAGCUAGGAUGGGGACAAAUCUAAGUUCCUUUGUGAAGACGUAUGGUGUGUCAAAAUGUUAAUUUUUCACUGCCACAGGCUGGCAAGACACGGUCUUAGAUCUAGUAAAAUUGUUGCAAAAAGAAAACAACGAGGCAAACUUUCCAAUUUUUAUGUUAAGAAUAUUUGUCGGGCCCCAGAGAAAGCCAAGUGGCCACCGAGCCGGCAGAGACGGGCGGAGAGCGUAGGCGGAGGGAGCAGCGCCUGGGCGCAUGCGGGCACCAUGACCCAGACGCCUGCCUUCAACAAGCCCAAAGUAGAACUGCACGUCCACCUAGACGGAGCCAUCAAGCCUGAAACCAUCUUAUACUAUGGCAGGAGGAGAGGGAUCGCCCUCCCAGCUAACACAACAGAGGGGCUGCUGAACGUCAUUGGUAUGGACAAGCUGCUCACCCUCCUGGACUUCUUGGCCAAGUUUGACUACUACAUGCCUGUUAUUGCAGGCUGCCGGGAGGCUAUCAAAAGGAUCACCUAUGAGUUUAUAGAGAUGAAGGCCAAAGAAGGUGUGGUGUACGUGGAGGUGCGGUACAGUCCGCACCUGCUUGCCAACUCCAAAGUGGAGCCAAUCCCCUGGAACCAGGCUGAAGGGGACCUCACCCCAGACGAGGUGGUGGCCCUAGUGGGCCAGGGCCUGCAGGAGCGGGAAUGAGACUUCGGGGUCAAGGCCUGGUCCAUCCUGUGCUGCAUGCGCCACCAGCCCAACUGGUCCCCUGACGUGGUGGAGCUGUGUAAGAAGUACCAGCAGUAGACCGUGGUGGCCAUUGACCUGGCUGGAGAUGAGACCAUCCCAGGAAGCAGCCUCUUGCCUGGACAUGUCCAGGCCUACCAGGAGGCUGUGAAGAGCCGCAUUCACUGUACUGUCCACGCUGGGGAGGUGGGCUUAGCCGAAGUAGUAAAAGAGGCCGUGGACAUACUCAAGACAGAGCGGCUGGGACAUGGCUACCACACUCUGGAAGAACAGGCCCUUUAUGACAGGCUGUGGCAGGAAAACAUGCACUUCGAGAUCUGCCCCUGGUCCAGCUACCUCACUGGUGCCUGGAAGCCGGACACAGAGCAUGCAGUCGUUUGGCUCAAAAAUGACCAGGCUAACUACUCACUCAACACAGAUGACCCGCUCAUCUUCAAGUACCCCCUGGACACUGAUUACCAUAUGACCAAAUGGGACAUGGGCUUUACUGAAGAGGAGUUUAAGAGGCUGAACAUCAAUGCAGUCAAAUCUAGUUUCCUCCCAGAAGAUGAGAAGAGGGAGCUUCUCAACCUGCUCUAUAAAGCCUAUUGGAUGCCACCUUCAGCCUCUGCAGGGCACCAUCUCUGAAGAUGCCACCCCUCCAAGCCUUCGCCCUGUGGAGUCAUCCCAACUCUGUGGGGCUGAGCAACACUUUUACAUGUAUUCCUUCCAAGAAGACCAUGAUCUCAAUCGUCAGUUACUGAUGCUCCUGAAGCCUGUGUGUCCAUUUCUGCACACACGUAUACCUUGGCAUGGCCGUAUCACGUCUCUGACUAUGUGCCCUGGCCAGGGACCAGCGCCCUUGCACAUGGGCAUGGUUGAAUCUGAAACCCUCCUUCUGUGGCAACUUGUACUGAAAAUCUGGUGCUCAAUAAAUAAGCCCAUGGCUGAUGGCAUGCAAAAAAAAAAAAAA